GUAGUGCUUUAGGGGUAUUCUGCCAAACAGCAGAAUUGAGAAAAACUCUUUGAACCUGAUGCGGUUAAUACCGACGAAGGGAAAAGCAACCGGAACCAG
rnacentral:ncRNA from 1 species